GGUCUUUGGGGCAGGGUGCAAAUCCCGACCGAUGGUAGAGUCCAUGAACCUCCGUUUGGAGGCCGAUCUGGUGCGAUUCCAGAACCGACGGUACAGUCCGGAUGAGAAAAGAC
rnacentral:ncRNA from 1 species